GCCCCCAUCGUCUAACGGUUAGGACAUCAGAUUCUCAUUCUGGCAAUACGGGUUCGAUUCCCGUUGGGGGUG
rnacentral:tRNA from 1 species